rnacentral:rRNA from 1 species
UCGAAUGCGAAAGUAGCAAUACUAGUAGCAUGGCGAAAGGGAUAGUAAUGCAUGGGCAAUCUACCCUCGACUCCGGGAUAUGCGGUAGAAAUGCCGAGUAAUACUGGACGCCGUUAAGUGGGGACAUCCCUGUUUAACGAAAGGUCCGCCGGUCGAGGAGGAGCUCAUGUCCUAUCAGCUAGUCGGUGAGGUAACGGCUCACCAAGGCGACGACGGGUAGCGGGUGUGAGAGCACGACCCGCAUCACUGGCACUGAGACACUGGCCAGACUCCUACGGGAGGCUGCAGUCGAGAAUCUUCGUCAAUGGGGGAAACCCUGAACGAGCGACGCCGCGUGGAGGAUGAAGGCCUUCGGGUUGUAAACUCCUGUUGGGAGGGAACAAAUUUUGAGUGACCUCCUGAGGAAGCACGGGCUAAGUUCGUGCCAGCAGCCGCGGUAAGACGAACCGUGCGAACGUUAUUCGGAAUCAUUGGGCUUAAAGGGCGCGUAGGCGGCGGCGUAAGUUGGAAGUGAAAUCCCAUCGGCUCAACCGUGGAAUCGCUCCCAGUACUGCGUCGCUCGAGGGGGAUAGGGGUCUGCGGAACUA